UUUUUGUUUGUUUUUUUGUUUUUCCCUUUUUUUCCGUCUAUCUUUUUUUCUUCCUUUUUUUUUUUGCUUUUUGUUUUCUUUUAAAAAAAUGCCGCUAAAGGCUAGCGGCAAGUAGGGAUUGACAU
rnacentral:ribozyme from 13 species